UACGUAGGAUGCGAGCGUUGUUCGGAUUUAUUGGGCGUAAAGCGUGCGUAGGCGGUUACAAAAGUCUGGUGUUAAAGCUAGGGGCUCAACCCCUGUGAUGCACUGGAAACUAUGUGACUUGAGUGCGGUAGGGGAAGGUGGAAUUCCGAGUGUAGCGGUGAAAUGCGCAGAUAUCGGGAAGAACACCCGUGGCGAAGGCGGCUCUCUGGGACGGUACUGACGCUGAGGAGCGAAAGCGUGGGGAGCGAACAGG
rnacentral:rRNA from 1 species